GAUAAUAAAAUCAGUUGCAGAUCACAGGUUCUACAACUAGUUCAAAUGAAAGAAGGAACAAAAGGGAUUAAAAAGAAUGUCAAUUUCAUGGAAUAACUAAUUACAAAAAGAUGAACUAAUGGUAUUAUAAAUAUUCUUCUUUUCAUUCUCAUUUGCUUCUUCCUUUUCCAUUCGUUUUCCAACCUGUUAUUUUGGAUUAUUGUGAGUGAAUACUCCCAAUUUUCCAAACAAACAUGCUCCAUUUCUUAAUUUCUUAAGUAUGAAAUAAGAAAAAGUCCUAUAUGAUAAUAAAGGCAUUAGACAUAUUCAUAAGCUGAGCAUAUUACUAACAUAAUAUAUACAGCAGCCUCCCAUAUAAUAACGGUAAUUUGGUGCAUUUUCCCCUAUUAUUCGACAUCAAAAGACAAGUAGAAUAUAAUAGUUUCAAACACAAGGAGAGGGAAAAAGCCAACUUACAAGCCGGGAAAAAACAUGUAACAUACUAGAAAAUAGAUUCAAGCUUUGAGAAGAAUGAACAAACAAAGUAAAUAAAUCCUUACUAAUCAUGCUAAACAUGAAACAUCGCAAUACAAUUCAUUUUAAAAAAUCUGAGAUUAAUUACUAAUUAACUGGAAUACCAACAAACGACGAAACUAUCCAUAUAAUAAUGAAAAUAAAUUGGAAGCCAUACCAAUUUCAUAAACCCUAAUUUCAAAAAUAUGGAAGAGACAAGGGGGAAAGUGACGUGUAACCGAAAGGAAAAAGUUUUAAUCAACAAAAAUAAUGUUAAACGAUUAAGGGAAAAAAAGAAUAGAAUGUUUUACCUUUUGAAGCGGGGUGGAGAGAAACAGGCGAAGAAUUUCCAGCCAAAAAUUAGGCUCAAACUAAACGUUAACUGAUUUUAAUAAUUUGGAGGGAUUGGGGAAGAAAUAAAGGGAUGUGGGAAAUUGGAGAUUUCGAUUAGAAAGGGAUUUGGGAAGUUGGGAAAUUGAGGAAAAGAAAUUGGGGAAGAAUAGUUUAGGGAUUUUGAUCAGAAGUUGGGAAAUUGGGGAAAAGAAAUUGGGGAAAUCUAAUUUGGGGGAAAACCUAAAGGAAUUUCGGGUCUAAU
rnacentral:lncRNA from 1 species